GACGAACGCUGGCGGCGUGCUUAACACAUGCAAGUCGAGCGAUGAAGUUCCUUCGGGAAUGGAUUAGCGGCGGACGGGUGAGUAACACGUGGGUAACCUGCCUCAUAGAGGGGAAUAGCCUUCCGAAAGGAAGAUUAAUACCGCAUAAGAUUGUAGUAUCGCAUGAUACAGCAAUUAAAGGAGUAAUCCGCUAUGAGAUGGACCCGCGUCGCAUUAGCUAGUUGGUGAGGUAACGGCUCACCAAGGCGACGAUGCGUAGCCGACCUGAGAGGGUGAUCGGCCACGUUGGGACUGAGACACGGCCCAGACUCCUACGGGAGGCAGCAGUGGGGAAUAUUGCACAAUGGGGGAAACCCUGAUGCAGCAACGCCGCGUGAGUGAUGACGGUCUUCGGAUUGUAAAGCUCUGUCUUCAGGGACGAUAAUGACGGUACCUGAGGAGGAAGCCACGGCUAACUACGUGCCAGCCGCCGCAGUAACAC
rnacentral:rRNA from 1 species